UUGCUGAAAAUAAAUGCAGUUGACAGUGAGGACGUUUAUUUUUUUGCUGAGUUUAGAAAAUGACUCAAGUUUAAAUCACCCAGUAAAAUACUUGAGUAAAGUAUAAAUAAUUUCACAUUACUUAAAUUAGAAAUCCAGACGGCACCAUUUUAUUUUUCAAAGACAGCCAGGGGCACACUCCAACAUCAAAAGAAGCAUUUAUGUUUAGUGAGUUCUAAACAGCGGGGACAAUCAAGCAUUCCCAGAAGUUUGGUUUGUGCGUAAAAACCGCAAAUUCAGACGAAGGGUGUGAUGUGUCUGCACUCAAAAAUAAAAUCAAGGUUUUUAAUGCAUUAGGGAUGGUAUACACAGAGGGUUCAGCUUUCUCCAUUGUGUAGGUACACGUCGUUUUAAAUCAGCAUUUGGUGGGAACACAGAUGAGCAGCACGUGCUUCUAAUCAGUCCACCAGAUCAGAGGCAGUAGGGACUAACAGGUGUUCUCUUGAUAAAUGCGUGAAUUAUACAUUUUCUGUCCUGCUAAGCGUUCAAAAUGUAACAAGUAGGCUACUUUUGUGUGUCAGGGAGAGUGUAUGGGGUAAGAAAUAUAUACUUUUCUUUAGGAAUGUAGUGAAGCAAAAGUUGUCAAAUAAAUAGUAAAGUGAAGAUACUCCCCAAAAUACUGUAGUACUUUACACCACAGAUGCAGGCUAUUGAGCCACUGACUUGCGAUUCUUUCUGCGUUGGACAGCCAUAAUGAUCUGUACCAGGAUCCUGUAUUUGUUGUUCUUCAUGUUGUCCUUGGCCUUCUUCAGGAGGUGUUCGAUCUCAGGCUCACCGUAGUGCAGAUGGAUCGUUUUGUACUUCUCCCUCUCCUCCUUAAUCUCCUCCUUACCUUUGCAGUUCUGCAGGUUGAACAGGGGCAUGUGCAUGAUGGUGGGCUCUUCAGGGCGUCGCCCCUCGAAAACGUAGCAGCCCUGCGGACGGUCUUUCUCAUCUCUCACACUCUCCUUCACCGGGGGAAAGGGGACCUUCUGCUGAAGUGCAUACUUUUUGGCACUAAACACCGUCUGUGAGGAGCAGGAUCAGUAGUAUGGUUAUGUCAAUGUCCUUCUCCUAACCAGCCUCUAGUCCCUACUCCCUAGGCCCUACUUCCAAGUCACAACUACCUACUUCCUAGUCACUAUUCUGUAGCCCCUACUCCCUAGUCCCUAGUUCCUACUCCCUAGGUCAGGGGUGUCUCUCAUUCCAUGGCUGGCUGAGUGGCUGCGGGUUUUAGUUUUUCCUUUCAAUUAAGACCUCCACAACAAGGUGAGGGGAGUUCCUUACUAAUUAGUACCUUCAUUUAUCAAUCAAGUACAAGGGUGGAGCGAAAACCCGCAGACACAGCCCUCCGUGGAAUGAGUUUGACAUGUGCCCUAGGCCCUACUUCCUAGUCACUACCUCCUAGCCCCUACUCCCUAGAGAGAGAGCAAGAGAAGGGAGAGAGAGGACAGAAACA
rnacentral:lncRNA from 1 species